GUCAGACCACAUUAAUAGCAACAAAAAUCCAGAGUGGUAUACUUCCAUGUCCAUAUUAUUGGAAAAAAAUUCUUAACCAGUAAAAGCAUGGCACUGUGGAUUAAGUACCAGGCUAACAUCAAGGAAAUCAGGUGAUGAUAGCCUACUGUAUGUCCCCAGUUGGUUUGAAGAUUUUCAAAAUAAGAACACUGUGGAAAAAUGAGUUUCUCCAUGAAGUUGUAAAUUGUGGAGUGCAACAUGUUCACAAGCUUCCAAACUGUGAUGACUGCAUCUCAAGCGUAAAGCUCUGGACAAUACAGAAAUAAAAUAUGAUGGCAAAAUAUGCAGAAAGCUUAUGAGUUGGUAAUAAGCAAGAUGGAGUCAAUAAAUGUUUUAAGAAUAUUGAUAAGUACAACAUAAGGCAACAUUAUGUGAAGUUACCAUCAGGAAAAACAGCAAUAAAUGGCACAUGUUGAAGAUGCCAGAAAAAUAGUUAUUUUUUUCAGAAAAAAGUACCUAGUUGCCUGUAAAGUCAU
rnacentral:lncRNA from 1 species